GGAAUUAUUGGGCGUAAAGAGCUCGUAGGCGGUUUGUCGCGUCUGCUGUGAAAACCCGAGGCUCAACCUCGGGCCUGCAGUGGGUACGGGCAGACUAGAGUGCGGUAGGGGAGAUUGGAAUUCCUGGUGUAGCGGUGGAAUGCGCAGAUAUCAGGAGGAACACCGAUGGCGAAGGCAGAUCUCUGGGCCGUUACUGACGCUGAGGAGCGAAAGGGUGGGGAGCAAACAGGCUUAGAUACCCUGGUAGUCCACCCCGUAAACGUUGGGAACUAGUUGUGGGGGCCUUUCCACGGUCUCCGUGACGCAGCUAACGCAUUAAGUUCCCCGCCUGGGGAGUACGGCCGCAAGGCUAAAACUCAAAGGAAUUGACGGGGACCCGCACAAGCGGCGGAGCAUGCGGAUUAAUUCGAUGCAACGCGAAGAACCUUACCAAGGCUUGACAUACACCGGAAACGUCUGGAAACAGUCGCCCCUUUUUGGUCGGUGUACAGGUGGUGCAUGGUUGUCGUCAGCUCGUGUCGUGAGAUGUUGGGUUAAGUCCCGCAACGAGCGCAACCCUCGUUCUAUGUUGCCAGCACGUUAUGGUGGGAACUCAUGGGAUACUGCCGGGGUCAACUCGGAGGAAGGUGGGGAUGACGUCAAAUCAUCAUGCCCCUUAUGUCUUGGGCUUCACGCAUGCUACAAUGGCCGGUACAAAGGGUUGCAAUACCGUGAGGUGGAGCGAAUCCCAAAAAGCUGG
rnacentral:rRNA from 1 species